GAUGAACGCUGGCGGCGUGCUUAACACAUGCAAGUCGAACGGGAAACCUUUUAUUGAAGCUUCGGCAGAUUUAGCUGGUUUCUAGUGGCGGACGGGUGAGUAACGCGUGGGUAACCUGCCUUAUACAGGGGGAUAACAACCAGAAAUGGUUGCUAAUACCGCAUAAGCGCACAGGACCGCAUGGUCCGGUGUGAAAAACUCCGGUGGUAUAAGAUGGACCCGCGUUGGAUUAGCUAGUUGGCAGGGUAACGGCCUACCAAGGCGACGAUCCAUAGCCGGCCGGAGAGGGUGAACGGCCACAUUGGGACUGAGACACGGCCCAGACUCCUACGGGAGGCAGCAGUGGGGAAUAUUGCACAAUGGGGGAAACCCUGAUGCAGCGACGCAGCGUGAAGGAAGAAGUAUCUCGGUAUGUAAACUUCUAUCAGCAGGGAAGAUAGUGACGGUACCUGACUAAGAAGCCCCGGCUAACUACGUG
rnacentral:rRNA from 1 species